rnacentral:rRNA from 1 species
CUACGGGUGGUAGCAGUGGGGAAUAUUGGACAAUGGGCGCAAGCCUGAUCCAGCAAUACCGCGUGUGUGAAGAAGGCCUGCGGGUUGUAAAGCACUUUCAAUUGUGAAGAAAAGCGAGGGCUUAAUACGCUCUUGUCUUGACGUUAACUUUAGAAGAAGCACCGGCUAACUCUGUGCCAGCAGCCGCGGUAAUACAGAGGGUGCGAGCGUUAAUCGGAAUUACUGGGCGUAAAGCGUACGUAGGCGGUUUAGUAAGUCAGAUGUGAAAGCCCUGGGCUCAACCUGGGAACUGCAUUUGAAACUGCUAGACUAGAGUGUGGUAGAGGGAAGUGGAGUUCCGGGUGUAGCGGUGAAAUGCGUAGAUAUCCGGAGGAACACCAGUGGCGAAGGCGACUUCCUGGACCAACACUGACGCUGAGGUACGAAAGCGUGGGUAGCAAACAGGAUUAGAUACCCCGGUAGUC